rnacentral:lncRNA from 1 species
CAUUUAUUACUUCUCAAAAUUCAACUCCAAACCAGAAAUCCAAUAAAUAGCCAUAAAUCCAAAUAACAUAAUAAAUCUCGAAAAUAUCGGUAAAAGCAUAAAACCACAAGUCUGAAAAAAAAAGUAAAUAAAACUCCCAAAGCACCAGUCUGAUAGCAAUCACUUAUGCUCGUCAGUCUCACCUGAAAGGGAAAGGAAUAGAAGGGGUGAGUAACAGGGGAGUUACUCCGUGAGGUAUGGGAUGCUAAACACACAAACCACUGACUUGAGUAAAUAGAACUCCCACUAUGGAAGUUUAGCUCUAACAUGAACACACACGACGCCUAGCGCAUCACACAAACACAAACAAUGCGAUGAUAGCAUAUAGCUAGUCCAUACACCCCCAUCUCCUCAUAUGGAUACAUAAUACGUAGCGUCGCUAGUACAAUAAGUCUCUGUACCCCCGCCCUCUCAAGUAGCAUCCAUGGUACAAACGUCUCUGCACCACACGCCCGCACAAGUAGCAUCGCAAGUCCAGACGUCUCUGAACCCCUGCCCGCACAAGUAAAAUAGCGUCGCUAGCCCAGACAUCUUUGAGCCCCCGCCCGCGCACAUAGUCCCUACUCAUAACUAUGUGUACAUACAUAUAUAUACCGCAUUUCUUAACAUCACACAAUCCAAUCAAAGGUUGAAUCCUCUAGACCCUUAGUUCCAGUUCACAAUGAAUGAACUAACUUACAAUCAA